GUAGAGUGCCGCAUAGAAUAGAACCAGCUGUCCGGCGCUGGCCUCCGCGCAGUCUUGGUGAUUCUGGCGGAAGCCACUGCACGGCGGCGGCCUCAUGCUCGGUAGCAUCGUUGCCACCGUCAAAAGGCUGACGCCCUGCCGUCCCCCAUGAGAGAGACACGAUCAGCUCCACCUCAGAGAGAAAUCAGGCGCAAGGUUAUAAUGUGCUUACUAUGGUGGCUACGAUUGCGAAGAUGACGACGGUGAGAUAGCGGCCAAGUCUGGCGUCAGCGAGGAAGCCGCCAAGAAGAGCGAGAAGGUAGAGCGUGCCCAAGAAGUUAGUCACGAUGUUGGCGGCUGCCGAGGUGGAGAGGUGUAGA
rnacentral:lncRNA from 1 species